rnacentral:rRNA from 1 species
UUCAGCUUGUUGGUGAGGUAGUGGCUCACCAAGGCGACGACGGGUAGCCGGCCUGAGAGGGCGACCGGCCACACUGGGACUGAGACACGGCCCAGACUCCUACGGGAGGCAGCAGUGGGGAAUAUUGCACAAUGGGCGAAAGCCUGAUGCAGCGACGCCGCGUGAGGGAUGACGGCCUUCGGGUUGUAAACCUCUUUCAGCAGGGAAGAAGCGAAAGUGACGGUACCUGCAGAAGAAGCGCCGGCUAACUACGUGCCAGCAGCCGCGGUAAUACGUAGGGCGCAAGCGUUGUCCGGAAUUAUUGGGCGUAAAGAGCUCGUAGGCGGCUUGUCACGUCGGUUGUGAAAGCCCGGGGCUUAACCCCGGGUCUGCAGUCGAUACGGGCAGGCUAGAGUUCGGUAGGGGAGAUCGGAAUUCCUGGUGUAGCGGUGAAAUGCGCAGAUAUCAGGAGGAACACCGGUGGCGAAGGCGGAUCUCUGGGCCGAUACUGACGCUGAGGAGCGAAAGCGUGGGGAGCGAACAGGAUUAGAUACCCUGGUAGUCCACGCCGUAAACGGUGGGCACUAGGUGUGGGCAACAUUCCACGUUGUCCGUGCCGCAGCUAACGCAUUAAGUGCCCCGCCUGGGAGAUGCACGGAA